rnacentral:rRNA from 2 species
ACCUCGGAUCAGGUAGGGAUACCCGCUGAACUUAAGCAUAUCUA